GGACCAUAGCUCAGUGGUAGAGCAUCUGCUUUGUGUGCAAACUGUUCUAGGUUCAAUCCCUGGCAUCUCCA